CACAAAUGGAUAAUGAAAGUGCUCAGUAACCUGAGGAGAAAGCACUGCUCUCCGUGUGUUCACCAUCUGAACACGGAUCCCAUCCCUUUCACAGUCACACUCAGCCUGAUGCACUUCAGUUUGCUCUGCCUUUAUCUGUCUUUGGGUCUGUCAUACAAUUCAAGAAGAAGGUGGUACUCAGAAUGGCAAUCCUGUGUGCCUGCAGCGACAGAGGAAUCAGAGGAGGAGCCGAAGCUGGAGCAGGAAUCUCAGAAAAAAUGUACAGUCACCACGGAGCCCUCAGGAAAUCAGAUUCUCUUCUGUUCAUCAAACUUGGAUACUACAUCCAUAUCUGAAAGCUCUCAGACUUUGGAAGGUGGAGACAGGAAGAUUAAACAUUCAAGGUCAGCUUCAGCCACAUGGGAGGCUUAAGGCCAUGAGAGGCUACCUGAGCUCCCUCUCAAGAUGAACAAAAGGGGAAAAGGACUCAGCAUUUAAUGAAUAAAUGCAAAUUAAUGACUAAUAUG
rnacentral:lncRNA from 1 species